AGAUCUGAUUACCAGUAGCUAGAUAAAGAACCCCGGCAGUACCAUUGUGCCUUGUGGUGGUUAAGUUGCCACAGUUGCAGCUCGUCAAUUUGGACAUGGCCUUGGGGUGGAGUAUAGGUCAGCACCUGACCAUGUUAUGCGAGCACUGUUUCAAGGCUUGGUUCUUGCUCCGCAAAUUGUUGGAGAGGCCGUUUCUAGUGAAGAUCAUGUCAGCCAAGGGCUAUAGAAUUCAACCACUUUUCAAGGGUUCCAUGCCAUGAAACUGUGCAGGUUGCCUUAAGUUUAACCUUAAAUGCUCCAUGAGCCUGGGCCAUCAAGUGCGCCUUCCCCUCUCUUCAACUGAGAGCUCUUCUCCUUGAAAUGUAUCGAUGCAGGGAGGAACACAUUGGACAGUGGACUCUUGUCCUGGGUGAAGUUUCUCAUGGUCAUGUAGCUAUUUGUUACCAGAAUACUUCCCAUUUCUAGGAUGGGUAGGCUCUUCGUUAACUACGACUGAUUAGUGAGUACUUGUUGAUUGACGGGAAUCAUCAGGAACCAUCAUUCUCAUAAAAUUAAUUUUGUUGAACCGACGAGUGAUUUCAAAUAACAAAGAUUUUUCAACGAUGUGAAGAAUUCAACAGGCUGCACCGAUUGAUUGGCAUAGUAACUUCAAGCCCAUCAUUCAUGUUGGAUAGCUUCGGCCUUUCGACUUGCCAGUUCAUUACAGAUUAGUUAGAAAUGCUUUGGAAUUAAUGUACCUGUUGUAUGAGUGUGCCAAUCAAGAAGAGACAGAUGGCCGCCACAGCACUUCAUCUGGGAGGAUUCCUUUUUAUGUUUUUAUUAUUACAGAUCUUGUCACUUAAUAGUCCAGAUCAGUUUGUAGAGUCUGCUCAUGAACACUUCAGAGAAAAAGUUGUUACUUCUCA